rnacentral:lncRNA from 1 species
AUGGCACGGAGUAAAGGAACCCGCAUGCACGCAGGGUCCAGUGGCGGAGCGGGAAAAAAGAGGGCUCUGUCUUUUGGAGCCAACAGUUUUUCAGGGGUCGUGACUACGAGGCAGCUCUCCGAGUCGGCUCCAAAGGGAGGGAGGAAGGAACGCAGGGAGGGUCACUACACUGAGGCUUUCCCACGGUCGCUCCACCACCUCCUUAACACCGGGAUAACGAAACACCCGUGGAGAGAGGAGCCAUCAGACAAAAGGGCAAGAGUAGAAACAAAAUCCAUUUCAAAAUGCAGAGAAAAGAAAUGAACAGCAACAACAACAAUGACAAAAAAAGCCAAAAGGUAAUUUCAAGAUAAAUCCUCAACUUCUAAGCUGGAGGGCCAGGCCUUGGAUAUUGUUAAUGAACCAUUAGCCCUGCCUUAAUCACAACAUCUCUUUCUUUUGU